ACCACCCUUUUCUUAGGGUUGGCUACUGUCCAAUGAGCAUGUGGUGAGGGCAGUACUGCUAAUGCCUGAACAACACACCCGCAUCAACCAGAUCUCUGCUUUACGUUGGUGUAAUUUUUGGAAAA